rnacentral:ncRNA from 1 species
GAAAAAGCGAAGAACCGGAAAAGUAUCGUGCAGGGAACCGUUCAGAGAGCCGGAGCAGGUGGAAACCGGCCGGGGAGAUGCGCAGGAAGUUCACCGGGGAGCUGCCCGUUCAGAGGCGUGAGUCAGCAGACGGAGCCGGAGCCUUUACCGUUAGAGGAAGGAGCCUGUCGACAUAUGUCCGCAGGUGAAGAGAUAUCCGCUUUGGCGGAUGAAUCAGGGUGGUACCGCGAGCAACAGCCUCGUCCUUUGA